rnacentral:lncRNA from 1 species
UGACACCCAGUAUCGGACCGCAAUCAGAAAGGCAAGGAUUAUGGGAGGGGAGUUUGGGGGAGAAUGGAUACAUGUGUAUGUGUGACUGAGACUCUUCACUGUUCAGCUGAAACUAUCCCAACAUUCUGAAUCGGCUGCACCCCAAUGCAAAAUACAAAGGUAAAGAAAUGCAAGGACCUAAAGCUUCAUUACUCUAAGACAAGCUGGGUUUUCCCCCCACAAGUUGUCACUUGAGCAUGAAGACUAGAACCUUGUCUUUGUAUUUUGUUCUCUUGUGACUCUUCAACUUGAUGGUAUUUGUCUGCUGAGUCUGUCUCUACAGAACUGGCUCCUGUCUGCGGCCAUACCACCCUGAACACACCCCAUCUCGUCUGAUCUCAGAAGCUAAGCAGGGUCGGGCCUGGUUAGUACCUGGAUGAGAGAACCAGCUCUCAGUGCUGGUCUGUCUCUGUGACAUCACUUCCAGGGGCUUUCCCAUUUGUAUUUUAACUAGACCUCUCUGCUGAAUUCAACACAGUGGGCUACUGGUACAAUGGAAAUGUACAACUCUGGCUUCAGGGGAGGAAGCGAUUCUUUCCAUAGCAUUACUCCCAUGCAAACCUCAAUUUUAUUCUUUAUUAAAAGUCAGUAAUAAAAAAUAUUUCAGUAUUUACCUCUUUCCACACUGUAUGAGCCUCAGGCCAAAACCUAUGGGUUCCAGCGAAAGCAAUUCCAAGACGGAAGUUUAUAUUAAGACAAGCUUACCUUAGGAAAAAAGAGGGAAAAAAAAUCAUUCAAUUGAUAAACCUUUAGCCAGACCUAUAAAGAGAAAAAGGGAAAAGGCCCUAAUCAAUAAAAUUAGAAAUGAAAAUUAUUUCUGACAGCACAGAAAUAUAAAGAACCAUAAGAUACUACCACAAGGAACUGUAUGUCAAUAAAAUGGACACUGAAAAGAAAUGGACAAAUUCUUAGAAAGGUAUAAUCUUCCAAGACUGAACCAGGAAGACACAGAAGAUAUGAACAGACCAAUUACAAGAACUGAAACUGAAUCUGUAGUUUAAAAACUCCCAACACACAGAAGUCCAGGACCAGAUGGCUUCACAGGUGAAUUCUAUCAAACAUCUAUAGAAGAGUUAACAGCUAUCCUUGUGAAACUAUUCCAGAAAACUGCAGAGGAAAAAAUACUUCCAUACUCAUUCUAUGAGGCCACCAUCAGGUUGAUACCAAGAUCAGAUAAAAAUAUCACAUAGGAAAAAUAAUUACAGGCCAAUAUCACUUACGAAUAGAGGCAAAAGUCCUCAAAAAAAAAAAAAACCCAGCAAACUGAAUCCAACAGUACAUUAAAAGGGUCUCACACAAAUAUCAAGUGGGAUUUAUUCCAGGGAUACAAGGAUUUU